UACGUAGGGCGCAAGCGUUGUCCGGAAUUAUUGGGCGUAAAGAGCUCGUAGGCGGCUUGUCACGUCGGGUGUGAAAGCCCGGGGCUUAACCCCGGGUCUGCAUUCGAUACGGGCUAGCUAGAGUGUGGUAGGGGAGAUCGGAAUUCCUGGUGUAGCGGUGAAAUGCGCAGAUAUCGGGAAGAACACCCGUGGCGAAGGCGGCUCUCUGGAACGCAACUGACGCUGAGACGCGAAAGCGUGGGGAGCAAACAGG
rnacentral:rRNA from 1 species